rnacentral:lncRNA from 1 species
UGUUUUUUCUUUCUGUUUCUUUAACGUUAUUCCUUUCACUCUGCUAAAGUUUCCAAAGCGAAGUCUAAUUGAUACCUCUACCUCUCAGUCUUGGAGGCAAUGAGAUAGAGGUAUAAACACGUAGGUAUAAACGGUUUAACAAUAGCGCCUAAGAGGCUCUUUGCAGCAUGUGUGUAUGGAGAUGUAUGUACCACAUAUGCACGGGUAAUUUGGUUAAAUGGUGUUUUCUUCAUUUCAGGUCUGCCUUGUAGACCCAACACAUCCAAGUGAAAGUCAAGCGUGAAAGGAGCUGGGCACUCUCUUGCACAGAUGUCUGCUCUGGAUGGCACUGUCUCCUGGAUAUUCCACUCCUAGCUCUUACCAAAUGAAACAAAUGAUACCACCAACCCUGGAAGUUACGUACCUUAUUUUCAGCAGUGCUGCACCCCACAGGCAGAGUCUUCGAGGCGCUGCGGCAAGACCAAGGGCCAGCACCCGUUCCCCGGUGUGGAAGGAGCGCUCCCGCCGGAGCCCCAGCGGUCAGCGUGAAGCCGACGUGUCGACGUCUCCCCUGCGGCUUUCUUAUUUUGAGCGGGAGGAAGGAGGUGAGUAGGUGGAAAAAGCCAGGACGAAAGCAAGGGGGAAGCUACAGUGCAGCUCAGCAGGGACAGCUCCCCUCCCACCUUUCUUACAUCCUGCUGCUGCCUUAUGAUUCCUCGGACCCCUCGUUGACUUCUUACGGCACUUUAGUCUCCUGAAAGUUUAGUGCUCAGCCGAGUAGGUUUCGAUGGACGCAGUAACUUCAAACGGCAGCAGAACAAACUGACGAGACUAUGUCUCCGGAGCAAGAAGGGGAUUUCCCCCCCGGCUUUUGUCCGCCCCCCCCCCCUUUUUUUUUAACUGUUAAUGACAGAUUUUAUUUAACCGAACAAAAACUUAUUGAUUUGCAAGCCUGAUCAUCUGAUAGCUAUUGAUUUGUUAAACACACAUCUAUCGGGGACUUCAUCGAGCAAGAAGCAGCAACACCUGUAGGGAAAUUUGUAUUCACGUCGAUAUUUGUAUUCACGAAAUUUGUAUUCACGGCAAUAUGUACACAAACAGUCGCUUCACAUCACAUUUGUGUGCGUGUGAGAGAGCGAGCGAGCAAUCGGGUGCGAGCAUAUUGUCAAGUUCCCAGCUGUGUGUCUUUUGACAAAUAAUCAAAAUAAAUAAGGGCUUGCUGCUGGUUAGGGUGAGGUA